ACAGUGUCUGGUGGGUAGUUUGACUGGGGCGGUCUCCUCCUAAAGAGUAACGGAGGAGCACGAAGGUUGGCUAAUCCUGGUCGGACAUCAGGAGGUUAGUGCAAUGGCAUAAGCCAGCUUGACUGCGAGCGUGACGGCGCGAGCAGGUGCGAAAGCAGGUCAUAGUGAUCCGGUGGUUCUGAAUGGAAGGGCCAUCGCUCAACGGAUAAAAGGUACUCCGGGGAUAACAGGCUGAUACCGCCCAAGAGUUCAUAUCGACGGCGGUGUUUGGCACCUCGAUGUCGGCUCAUCACAUCCUGGGGCUGAAGUAGGUCCCAAGGGUAUGGCUGUUCGCCAUUUAAAGUGGUACGCGAGCUGGGUUUAGAACGUCGUGAGACAGUUCGGUCCCUAUCUGCCGUGGGCGCUGGAGAACUGAGGGGGGCUGCUCCUAGUACGAGAGGACCGGAGUGGACGCAUCACUGGUGUUCGGGUUGUCAUGCCAAUGGCACUGCCCGGUAGCUAAAUGCGGAAGAGAUAAGUGCUGAAAGCAUCUAAGCACGAAACUUGCCCCGAGAUGAGUUCUCCCUGACCCUUUAAGGGUCCUGAAGGAACGUUGAAGACGACGACGUUGAUAGGCCGGGUGUG
rnacentral:rRNA from 1 species